GGCUAACUACGUGCCAGCAGCCGCGGUAAUACGUAGGGUGCGAGCGUUAUCCGGGAAUUAUUGGGCGUAAAGAGCUCGUAGGCGGUUUGUCGCGUCUGUCGUGAAAGUCCGGGGCUUAACCCGGGAUCUGCGGUGGGUACGGGCAGACUAGAGUGCAGUAGGGGAGACUGGAAUUCCUGGUGUAGCGGUGGAAUGCGCAGAUAUCAGGAGGAACACCGAUGGCGAAGGCAGGUCUCUGGGCUGUAACUGACGCUGAGGAGCGAAAGCAUGGGGAGCGAACAGGAUUAGAUACCCUGGUAGUCCAUGCCGUAAACGUUGGGCACUAGGUGUGGGGACCAUUCCACGGUUUCCGCGCCGCAGCUAACGCAUUAAGUGCCCCGCCUGGGGAGUACGGCCGCAAGGCUAAAACUCAAAGGAAUUGACGGGGGCCCGCACAAGCGGCGGAGCAUGCGGAUUAAUUCGAUGCAACGCGAAGAACCUUACCAAGGCUUGACAUGUUCUCGAUCGCCGUAGAGAUACGGUUUCCCCUUUGGGGCGGGUUCACAGGUGGUGCAUGGUUGUCGUCAGCUCGUGUCGUGAGAUGUUGGGUUAAGUCCCGCAACGAGCGCAACCCUCGUUCCAUGUUGCCAGCACGUAAUGGUGGGGACUCAUGGGAGACUGCCGGGGUCAACUCGGAGGAAGGUGAGGACGACGUCAAAUCAUCAUGCCCCUUAUGUCUUGGGCUUCACGCAUGCUACAAUGGCCGGUACAAUGGGUUGCGAUACUGUGAGGUGGAGCUAAUCCCAAAAAGCCGGUCUCAGUUCGGAUUGGGGUCUGCAACUCGACCCCAUGAAGUCGGAGUCGCUAGUAAUCGCAGAUCAGCAACGCUGCGGUGAAUACGUUCCCGGGCCUUGUACACACCGCCCGUCAAGUCACGAAAGUCGGUAACACCCGAAGCCGGUGGCCUAACCCUUGUGGGGGGAGCCGUCGAAGGUGGGACCAGCGAUUGGGACUAAGUCGUAACAAGGUAGC
rnacentral:rRNA from 1 species